AUUGAACGCUGGCGGCAUGCCUUACACAUGCAAGUCGAACGGCAGCAUGAUCUAGCUUGCUAGAUUGAUGGCGAGUGGCGAACGGGUGAGUAAUACAUCGGAACGUGCCCUGUAGUGGGGGAUAACUAGUCGAAAGAUUAGCUAAUACCGCAUACGACCUGAGGGUGAAAGUGGGGGACCGCAAGGCCUCAUGCUAUAGGAGCGGCCGAUGUCUGAUUAGCUAGUUGGUGAGGUAAAGGCUCACCAAGGCGACGAUCAGUAGCUGGUCUGAGAGGACGAUCAGCCACACUGGGACGGAGACACGGCCCAGACUCCUACGGGAUGCAGCAGUGGGGAAUUUUGGACGAUGGGGGAAACCCUGAUCCAGCAAUGCCGCGUGUGUGAAGAAGGCCUUCGGGUUGUAAAGCACUUUUGUCCGGAAAGAAAUCGCACUUACUAAUAUUAGGUGUGGAUGACGGUACCGGAAGAAUAAGGACCGGCUAACUACGUGCCAGCAGCCGCCGUAAGAC
rnacentral:rRNA from 1 species